GGCAUCUGGGUGCCCUCGCUGGAGGGGAUACCAGUGGGGGUUAGGGAGCAGUCCCCGGUGGGCACCUGGGUGAAGGGGAAAAUGCAUCAGUGGGCAGAGAGGAGCAAGCAGCACUGGGUGAAGGAGCUUUCUCAGGACACAACAGGGCCUUCCGAAGUGCCCUACGUCACGGAGCUGGAGAUGGACAGUGCCUCCCAGUCUCCCAUCCCUCUGCCCGCAUCGGAGUGGGAGGGUGCACCCCGGUCGCCCAUCUCUCUGACCCCCAUCUCCAAGAUGGAGGCUGGGGUGUCCCCACAGCUCACCAGUGUAUCUCAAGAGCCUCAAGAGCCCAAGAAGAUGUCAGAUCUGAGCCCUCUGACCACGACCGGGUUGUCCUCAGAGGCUCUCUCACCCUCGCCCUUGGAAGUGGAGAGUGUCCGUGCUUCAGCCAGGUACUUGGGGUGACAGCUAACAUGUUCUGUCAACUCCAUUCUCUGCAAGCAUGCUCAGUUCCGAGAGCCCUCAAUAGCGGGAUUCGGGGGACUCAAUCUCAGUUGCCAAAGUGUCCAAAGGAGCCCAACCUGGCCAGGCCCCCAGGGUGCUGUGCACCUCUACCGUAAGAAGCAGGGUGCUGAAAAGACCGGGCGGGGGGAUGCUCCCUCUCCAGUAGAGACCAGAGCUAUCUAUACGUUUAUAUAUUGG